rnacentral:rRNA from 1 species
CGAUAGAGACCGUACCGCAAACCGACACAGGUGGGCAGGAUGAGAAUUCUAAGGCGCUUGAGAGAACUCAGGAGAAGGAACUCGGCAAAUUUGCACCGUAACUUCGGGAUAAGGUGCGCCCUGAUAGGUUGAAGCCCCUCGCGGGUGUAGGCUGAAAGGGUUGCAGUGAAAUGGUGGCUGCGACUGUUUAAUAAAAACACAGCACUCUGCAAACACGAAAGUGGACGUAUAGGGUGUGACGCCUGCCCGGUGCCGGAAGGUUAAGUGAUGGGGUGCAAGCUCUUGAUCGAAGCCCCGGUAAACGGCGGCCGUAACUAUAGCGGUCCUAAGGUAGCGAAAUUCCUUGUCGGGUAAGUUCCGACCUGCACGAAUGGCGUAACGAUGGCCACACUGUCUCCUCCUGAGACUCAGCGAAGUUGAAAUGAUUGUGAAGAUGCAAUCUCCCCGCGGUUAGACGGAAAGACCCCAUGAACCUUUACUGUAGUUUUGCAUUGGACUUUGAACCAGCCUGUGUAGGAUAGGUGGGAGGCUGUGAAACUGGGACGCUAGUUCUGGUGGAGCCAACCUUGAAAUACCACCCUGGUUUGUUUGAGGUUCUAACCAUGGCCCGUGAAUCCGGGUCUGGGACCCUGCAUGGUAGGCAGUUUGACUGGGGCGGUCUCCUCCUAAAGUGUAACGGAGGAGUACGAAGGUACGCUAGGUACGGUCGGACAUCGUGCUGAUAGUGCAAUGGCAAAAGCGUGCUUGACUGCGAGACUCACACGUCGAGCAGGUACGAAAGUAGGUCAUAGUGAUCCGGUGGUUCUGUAUGGAAGGGCCAUCGCUCAACGGAUAAAAGGUACUCUGGGGAUAACAGGCAAAUACCGCCCAAGAGUUCAUAUCGACGGCGGUGUUUGGCACCUCGAUGUCGGCUCAUCACAUCCUGGGGCUGUAGUCGGUCCCAAGGGUAUGGCUGUUCGCCAUUUAAAGUGGUACGUGAGCUGGGUUUAAAACGUCGUGAGACAGUUUGGUCCCUAUCUGCCGUGGGCGCUGGAAAUUUGAAGGGGGCUGCUCCUAGUACGAGAGGACCGGAGUGGACGAACCUCUGGUGUACCGGUUAUGACGCCAGUCGUAUUGCCGGGUAGCUAAGUUCGGAAGAGAUAAACGCUGAAAGCAUCUAAGCGUGAAACUCGCCUUGAGAUAAGAUUUCCCUGGGGACUUGAUCCCCCUGAAGGGUCGUGGUAGACCACCACGUUGAUAGGCUGGGUGUGGAAGC